CGCUAAAAAUGUAUGUGAGGUGAAGGGGGCAGCGCCCACGCACUGCCCGCCGCGCCUUGCCGCCCGCCCAACGCCAGUCAGCAACUGUGGCUCGUGUUGGCUGAACCAUCUUAGGGCCAUCCUCUUUUUCUUUGCCGUAGACACUACACUCAGACAUUCACAAUGGCGGAUGAUGAAAAAAAGCGUCUCGAGGAGGCGAAGAAGGCCAAACAGGCCGAAAUCGAUCGCAAGCGCGCUGAGGUGCGCAAGCGCAUGGAGGAAGCCUCCAAAGCCAAAAAGGCCAAGAGAGGUUUCAUGACACCAGAGAGAAAGAAGAAGCUUAGGUUGCUCCUGCGUAAGAAAGCCGCUGAAGAGUUGAAGAAGGAACAGGAACGCAAAGCAGCAGAAAGGAGGCGUAUUAUUGAAGAAAGGUGCGGCAGACCCAAAAACAUUGACGACGCAAACGAAGAAAUGCUCAAGAGAAUAAUCCAGGAGUAUAAUGACCGCGUAUAUGUGUGUGAGGGCCAGAAGUGGGAUUUGGAACACGAAGUCAGGAAAAGAGAUUUCGAGAUCUCCGACCUGAACUCUCAAGUCAAUGACCUUAGAGGAAAGUUCGUCAAACCUACACUGAAGAAGGUGUCCAAAUACGAGAACAAAUUCGCCAAGCUCCAGAAGAAGGCCGCCGAAUUCAACUUCCGUAACCAACUCAAGGUUGUCAAAAAGAAGGAAUUCACCCUCGAAGAAGAAGACAAAGAGGCUAAAAAGGCAGAGAAAGCUGACUGGGCUAUCGGGAAGAAGUGAUCCCAUACAAUUCCUUUACCAAGAAUACUUUUAAUUAUCCAUUAAUAAAAUUAUCUUAUUUAUACAUCAAUUGUUUGUUUAAAUGAUAUACCGCUCUCGUAACACCGAGAAAAAACCUGACUGGUCCAAGGGCAAGCCUGGUGACGCGAAGGUAAAGGAAGAGGAGGUGGAAGCAUGAGGUGUUACCUUCUCCCACAGGCCCUAAAACCAUUGUCACGAAACCAUUUUCCAUUCCAAAGGGAAGCAUGGUUCCUCGGCAUAUUCCUUCAUUUGACAAAACAACCAAGUCAAUAACAAUAUUAUUUAUUUAAUUUUUUUUAUAAGUUAAUAAAUUAAUUUCUGUAUUA